UAUCACUAAGCGGAGGAAAAGAAACUAACAAGGAUUCCCUCAGUAACUGCGAGUGAACAGGGAGAAGCCCAGCACCGAAGCCUGUGGUCAUUUGGCUACUAGGCAAUGUGGUGUUUAGGUCGUUCCGCGUGGGCGCUGCCUCAUUCCAAGUCCAGCAAUGAGUACGGUAAUGCUGACAUGGCCCAGAGAGGGUGAAAGGCCCGUGGGAGUGAGGUCGCAGAAAUGCCAGUGCCUUCCUGGAUAGACCUUAGAGUCGGGUUGUUUGUGAAUGCAGCCCAAAGUGGGUGGUAAACUCCAUCCAAGGCUAAAUACUAACACGAGUCCGAUAGCGAACAAGUACCGUGAGGGAAAGUUGAAAAGUACUUUGAAGAGAGAGUAAACAGUGCGUGAAACCGCUCAGAGGUAAACGGGUGGAGUUGAACUGUGAUCUCUGUGGAUUUAGCUGAUGAGCAUGGUUUGAGCUUGGUCAAAUUGGUUGUACCCAGGAAUCUGCUUAGCCGCAGGUCUUCGCCUUCGGGUGAGGAUGCGCGAUGCACUCAUCAUGUGCUGCGCGUUCCAGUUUUUUCGUGCCAGCUCGUCAGUGCACUUUCGCAGAGUGUUCACCACGACCGGUAUUGUUGUCUGGCUGUUGUGGUUAAACCGGCCUUUCUUAGUCCUUGUGGCUUUGGAUUGUCGGGAUGGCAGGUAGCUCAAUUGCUGUGCCUGUGGUUCGCUGCAGGUUUCGGCUCUCGGGUGUUAUCAGCUGACCGCAUCGGUUCUGUGCAGUAUAUCGGAGACGGCGGCUUGUGGUACAUGGCGUGCGUGCUUGUUAGUUGGCGUGUCCGGGUUCGGUUGUUAUGUUGCUUGUGUUUACAGGCCUGAUGAUAUCCCGGGUUCGUUCGGCUGGCAGUUGCGUGCGCAGUGCUUUCCAGGGCCAACAGUCUGUGGUGUUGCGGUAGACUAUCCACCUGACCCGUCUUGAAACACGGACCAAGGAGAGUAACAUGUGCGCGAGUCAUUGGGCGUAACGAAACCCAAAGGCGAAGUGAAAGUAAAGGUCUGACUUGUUCGGACUGAGGUGAGAUCCUGGCGUUUUCCACGCGCGGUAUUACCAAGCAUCGAGCGUCAGGCGCAUCACCGGCCCGUCCCAUGGUGUGGUGACUCCUCUCGGGGGGUUCGUCACCGGGGCGGAGCAUGAGCGUACAUGUUGAGACCCGAAAGAUGGUGAACUAUGCUUGCGCAGGUUGAAGCCAGAGGAAACUCUGGUGGAGGACCGCAGCGAUUCUGACGUGCAAAUCGAUCGUCAGACGUGAGUAUAGGGGCGAAAGACUAAUCGAACCAUCUAGUAGCUGGUUCCCUC
rnacentral:rRNA from 1 species